rnacentral:lncRNA from 1 species
GGAUACUCUCCAGGACUACAGGAAACAAUUCAAAUGUGUACCGAGUAUUUAGGAUAGCUAGCUCAAAAGGUUGCCUAUCACUGCCCUAGGAGGAUGAACCCAGAACUUCUGAGCAGUAAUAUAUCAAGGACAUUUAGAAGAGGUCCUGUACUGCAGGAGGAUUUUGGUACCAGUCUCAGUUCUCCUCCUUUCCUCUGGUGUAAAUGACUUGGGGUAAGUCAUUUCAUUCCUUGGGCUACUGGUUCCUCAGCUGUAAAAUAAGAUAGUUGGAAUAAAUAAAGGUUCUACAUUUUAUAAUUCUAAAUC